UACAGGGCGCCGUUAGAGGGUGAGAGCCCCGUAGGUACCACAACACCGUCUUGUGUCUCCUCUCCAAAGAGUCGAGUUGUUUGGGAAUGCAGCUCAAAGUGGGUGGUAAAUUCCAUCUAAAGCUAAAUACCGGCGAGAGACCGAUAGCGAACAAGUACAGUGAUGGAAAGAUGAAAAGCACUUUGAAAAGAGAGUGAAACAGUACGUGAAAUUGUUGAAAGGGAAGGGCUUGCAAGCAGACACGGCCUUCGUGCCGGGCCAGCAUCGGUUGCUAGGGGUGGAUAAGGAACAAGGCAAUGUAGCUCCUCGGAGUAUUAUAGCCUUGCUGGCGAUACAACCCACUGGCAGACCAGAGGCCUUGGCGGUAUU
rnacentral:rRNA from 1 species